AAACAGAUGCAGUGCAUGUGAUACUUUCAUUUUCUCAAAAUGUGAUGGAGAAAUAGUGGCGUUAGUUAGCUUUGGUGCUAAUUUUAAAUCAUGAUGGUUCUCAAACUCUACUAGAUCUUUUACAGGUGUAAUGGACACAAAACUACAGUUCAAGUUGUUUGCUUUAACAACAUCAUCAGGUGAGGAACAUCAGCGAGAAAAUAUAACCAUUUGGUUGGACUUUGAGGAUGUACUACUUUGCUAACAGUAUUGCAGUGUCUUCCAGUCAUGAGGCCAAAGCUUCUCCACAGUGCUCGGUUUGCAGAUCCCAUGUCACUAGUCACAGCUAUGACAUUUCCGUCAGUGGAGUUUCCUGUGAAAUGGUAUGCUACUGUCUGUUUCCACCGUGAUGACAGUCCUCCCAACAUAAACACAAGAGCAUGAGUGGCACUACCACAAUGACCAGGCAAAGUCACAUUCCCAAGCAAUUGUCCACUACUUGCAUCAUACUCAAUACUAGGUGUAAUGGACAUUUCAUCUAAUGUGAGACAGCAGACUCUUUCCUCUUCACACAAAUUAUUUACCUUCACUGCUAAGUAUUCAAAAACUUGGCUGAGUAUGCCGGGCUCAAAUAGAACUGUUUCCAUCCGUCGUUGAAGAGUUCGAAGAGAUGGUAAAGGGUACUGCUGUUUUAAAAAUGACCACCGAAUUCCUCGCAUUCCUCGGGACAAUGCUAGCAGCUGAUCUUCAGCAAACAGUUUUUUAAUCUUUGAUUCCUGACUUGCCAUUUGCUUAGCAAGUGCAUUAUUUCUUCUUGUAAUUUUGUGCAGUUUGGCUCUUGAAACUUGUAAUUUGGCUUUCAAUUUUACGACUUCUCUAGCUGUUGUAGAGGAAUCAAUUGAAAGGGUAUUAGAUUCAUCCACAUCUAUAUCUAGAUCUGCCACACUGGUUUCAUA